rnacentral:rRNA from 1 species
AGUGAACGCUGGCGGUAGGCCUAACACAUGCAAGUCGAACGGCAGCACAGUAGAACUUUCUCUCUACGUGUCGAGUGGCGGACGGGUGAGGGAUACAUCUCAAUCUGCCCAGUCUUGUGGGAGAACAUGUGGGGACUUACACUAAUACAGCAUACACCCUUCAGGGGUAAAAGGGGGAGCGCUUCAGCUCUUGCGCGUGUGUAUGCCGAUGUCGGAGUAGCUAGUUUGCGGGGUAAUGGCGCACCAAGGCGACGAUCCGUAGCUGGUCUGUGAGGAUGAUCAGCCACACUGGAACUGAGACACGGUCCAGACUCCUACGGGAGGCAGCAGUGGGGAAUAUUGGACAAUGGGCGCAAGCCUGAUCCAGCCAUACCGCGUGGGUGAAGAAGGCCUUCGGGUUGUAAAGCCCUUUUGUUGGGAAAGAAAACCUUCAGGUUAAUACCCUGCGAGGCUGACGGUACCCAAAGAAUAAGCACCGGCUAACUUCGUG